AGCAUCACGCCAUCUUUCUCAUGAUUCUCUGGUUUUUGUGGAACAGCUCAUGCACAUUUUAUUCCAUGAGUUGUCCCACAAAGAACACAGAUCAAUGACAAAAACUUCAGGACGUUGG
rnacentral:precursor_RNA from 8 species